GCUGAGGUGGCAGAGCGGUUAAUGCGCGGGCCUUGAGAGCCCGUUCCCGUCAGGGAGCAAGGGUUCGAAUCCCUUUCUCAGCG
rnacentral:tRNA from 1 species